rnacentral:lncRNA from 1 species
AAAAGAGGCAGCUGCAGUUUCACUUGCCAGGGCAACAGGGCAAUAUAUUCCACAUGCAGUGCAUCUAGUUCUGGAAAGGAAGAAUUCCCAUGAGUGAGCAUGAUCAGGAAGUGCAUGGGAGGAGAUGGGCCUGGAAUGCUGCAUGGAGGAGGAGGAGAAUGAGGAGAAAGAAGAGAAGAGCAGUGGCCAGCAUUAGCCUGAGAGGAAGCCAGAGGGCUGUGGGAGUGCUGAUCUCUGGAAGAAUGUUGAGGGGUUGUGCGGCUGGGAUGGAGAGUUUGAAUUUGAGUUGGGAAAGGGUGGUAUGAAAUCACCUAGGUGAGAAGCAAGAUUGGCUGUAUACCGUGACAGAUAUGGAUGUACCAGAGAGAAUAAUUAUGGUUUGCUGUCAUAAGAGACUAGCUUCCUUCUACGAAGCAGCAAUUCCCGAAAUGGAGUCUGCAAUUAAGAAGAGGAGGCUUGAAGAUAGCAAGCUUCUUGGUGACCUGUGGCAGAGGCUCUCCCAUUCCAGGAAGAAGCUAAUGGAGAUUUUCCACAUCAU